ACGGGAGGCAGCAGUGGGGAAUAUUGGGCAAUGGGCGAAAGCCUGACCCAGCAACGCCGCGUGAAGGAAGAAGGUCUUCGGAUUGUAAACUUCUUUUAUGAGGGACGAAGGAUUUGACGGUACCUCAUGAAUAAGCCACGGCUAACUACGUGCCAGCAGCCGCGGUAAUACGUAGGUGGCAAGCGUUAUCCGGAUUUACUGGGUGUAAAGGGCGCGUAGGCGGGAUGGCAAGUCAGAUGUGAAAUCCAUGGGCUCAACUCAUGAACUGCAUUUGAAACUGUCAUUCUUGAGUGUCGGAGAGGUAGAUGGAAUUCCUAGUGUAGCGGUGAAAUGCGUAGAUAUUAGGAAGAACACCAGUGGCGAAGGCGAUCUACUGGACGAUAACUGACGCUGAGGCGCGAAAGCGUGGGGAGCAAACAGGAUUAGAUACCCUGGUA
rnacentral:rRNA from 1 species